rnacentral:rRNA from 1 species
GCUGGCGGUAUGCCUAACACAUGCAAGUCGAACGAGAUUUCUUUUUUGUUUUCAAAAGAGGAAUUGCAGUGGCGGACGGGUGAGGAACACGUAAGAACUUACCUUUUGGCGGGGGAUAACAACGGGAAACUGUUGCUAAUACCCCAUAAUGCUGAGGAGCGAAAGGGAAACUGCCAAAAGAUGAGUCCGCGUACGAUUAGCUAGUUGGUGGGGUAAUGGCCCACCAAGGCGACGAUCGUUAGCUGGUCUGAGAGGACGAUCAGCCACACUGGGACUGAGACACGGCCCAGACUCCUACGGGAGGCAGCAGUGGGGAAUAUUGGACAAUGGGGGCAACCCUGAUCCAGCCAUGCCGCGUGAGUGAUGAAGGCCUUCGGGUUGUAAAGCUCUUUUGGCGGGGACGAUGAUGACGGUACCCGCAGAAUAAGCCCCGGCUAACUUCGUGCCAGCAGCCGCGGUAAGACGAAGGGGGCUAGCGUUGUUCGGAAUUACUGGGCGUAAAGCGAGUGUAGGUGGUUUGCCAAGUUGGGUGUGAAAGCCUUGAGCUCAACUCAAGAAAUGCACUCAGUACUGGCAGACUAGAGGACCGGAGAGGAUAGUGGAAUUCCCAGUGUAGUGGUGAAAUACGUAGAGAUUGGGAAGAACACCAGUGGCGAAGGCGGCUAUCUGGAUGGUUUCUGACACUAAGACUCGAAAGCGUGGGGGAGCAAACAGGAUUAGAUACCCUGGUAGUCCACGCCGUAAACGAUGGGUGCUAGACGUUGGCGAGCUUGCUCGUCAGUGUCCCA